rnacentral:rRNA from 1 species
AUUGAACGCUGGCGGCAGGCUUAACACAUGCAAGUCGAACGAGCGGCGGACGGGUGAGUAAUGUCUAGGAAACUGCCUGGUAGCGGGGGAUAACUACUGGAAACGGUCGCUAAUACCGCAUACCAUCAGAUGUGCCCAGCUCGGAUUAGCUAGUAGGUGGGGUAAAGGCUCACCUAGGCGACGAUCCGUAACUGGUCUGAGAGGAUGACCAGUCACACUGGAACUGAGACACGGUCCAGACUCCUACGGGAGGCAGCAGUGGGGAAUAUUGGACAAUGGGCGAAAGCCUGAUGCAGCCAUGCCGCGUGUGUGAAGAAGGUCUUCGGAUUGUAAAGCACUUUAAGUUAGGAGGCGUUACCCGCAGAAGAAGCACCGGCUAACUUCGUGCCAGCAGCCGCGGUAAUAC